AGCAGCCGCGGUAAUUCCAGCUCCAAUAGCGUAUAUUAAAGUUGUUGCAGUUAAAAAGCUCGUAGUUGAAUUUCGGGAUCAAUAUAUCGGUCGUGCCUUGGUACGUACUAGUAUCAUUGGUUUCUCCUUUCUGACGAACCAUGAUGUCAUUAAUUUGGUGUUAUGGGAAGUUAGGACUGUUACUUUGAAAAAAUUAGAGUGUUUAAAGCAGGCUUUAGCUUGAAUACAUUAGCAUGGAAUAAUGAAAUAGGACGUUCGAACCUAUUUUGUUGGUUUCUAGGAUCAACGUAAUGAUUAAUAGGGAUAGUUGGGGGCAUUAGUAUUCAAUUGUCAGAGGUGAAAUUCUUGGAUUUAUUGAAGACUAACUACUGCGAAAGCAUUUGCCAAGGAUGUUUUCAUUAAUCAAGAACGAAAGUUAGGGGAUCGAAGACGAUCAGAUACCGUCGUAGUCUUAACCAUAAACUAUGCCGACUAGGGAUCGGAUGAUGUAAUUUUUAAUGACUCAUUCGGCGCCUUACGG
rnacentral:rRNA from 1 species